rnacentral:tRNA from 1 species
GGGUAUAGCUCAGUUGGUAGAGCGGCGGUCUCCAAAACCGCAGGUCGAGGGUUCAAAUCCUUCUGCCC